CACGUAGGGGGCGAGCGUUGUCCGGAUUUAUUGGGCGUAAAGAGCUCGUAGGCGGUUUCGUAAGUCGGAUGUGAAAACUCCAGGCUCAACUUGGAGACGCCAUUCGAUACUGCGAUGACUUGAGUCCGGCAGGGGAGACUGGAAUUCCUGGUGUAGCGGUGAAAUGCGCAGAUAUCAGGAGGAACACCGGUGGCGAAGGCGGGUCUCUGGGCCGAUACUGACGCUGAGGAGCGAAAGCGUGGGGAGCGAACAGG
rnacentral:rRNA from 1 species